CACGCGACCAUGGAGAGAACAUGUAAACUCCACACAGAAAUGCCAAUUGGCCCAGCUGGAACUUGAACCAGCGACAUUCCAGUGAAAUUCUGAGCCACUGUGCCGCCCUAUCCUGGAUUAAUCUAGUAAAGAGCGUGAGGGUUAGGAGUGGAUGGAGGGAUUCUUCAAGACUAAGAUAACUGAGAUUUAAGUGUCAAGCCUGCUAAGCAACAGAUGAAAGCACAUUCUGGGCCUUCAGCUUGUGAGUAGAGACACAUUAACAGGCCAACAACAUUCAAAGUCUUUGUCCAGCAAGACAACAACAGAAGCAGCAUGCCCUGAAUCUCCAUGCCGCAGAGACAACAACAGCUUGAUUAAGUUCUGAGUCUCUGGCCCAGAGG